GAUGAACGCUGGCGGCGUGCCUAACACAUGCAAGUCGAACGGAGAUUACGGACGGAAGUUUUCGGAUGGAAGCCUGUAAUUCUUAGUGGCGGACGGGUGAGUAACGCGUGGGCAACCUGCCCUAUACAGGGGGAUAGCAGCUGGAAACGGCUGGUAAGACCGCAUAAGUCGGUUAAAUCGCAUGAUUGGAUCGGGAAAUGAGCAAUCAGGUAUAGGAUGGGCCCGCGUCCGAUUAGCCAGUUGGGAGGGUAAAAGCCUACCAAGGCGACGAUCGGUAGCCGGACUGAGAGGUCGCCCGGCCCCCUUGGGACUGAGCCCCGACCCAAACUCCUACGGGGGGCGGCAGUGGGGAUAUUGCACAAUGGAGGAAACUCUGAUGCAGCCACGCCGCGUGAGUGAAGAAGUAUUUCGGUAUGUAAAGCUCUAUCAGCAGGGAAGAUGAUGACGGUACCUGACUAAGAAGCCCCGGCUAACUACGUG
rnacentral:rRNA from 1 species